CCUACGGGAGGCAGCAGUGGGGAAUAUUGGGCAAUGGGCGCAAGCCUGACCCAGCAACGCCGCGUGAAGGAAGAAGGCUUUCGGGUUGUAAACUUCUUUUCUCAGGGACGAAGAAAGUGACGGUACCUGAGGAAUAAGCCACGGCUAACUACGUGCCAGCAGCCGCGGUAAUACGUAGGUGGCAAGCGUUAUCCGGAUUUACUGGGUGUAAAGGGCGUGUAGGCGGGAAAGCAAGUCAGAUGUGAAAACCAUGGGCUCAACCUGUGGCCUGCAUUUGAAACUGUUUUUCUUGAGUACUGGGGAGGCAGACGGAAUUCCUCGUGUAGCGGUGAAAUGCGUAGAUAUGAGGAGGAACACCAGUGGCGAAGGCGGUCUGCUGGACAGCAACUGACGCUGAGGCGCGAAAGCGUGGGGAGCAAACAGGAUUAGAUACCCUAGUAGUC
rnacentral:rRNA from 1 species